ACAGAGUGCAUAUUUAGUGUGUGAAAAUUCACAAGGUUAUUGCUAGGACGGUGGGAAAAUGUUACAGUAUUGAAAAGGAACGUCUAUCUGUGCAAUGAAAGCUGACGAUGCUUCUUUCCCUUCCUGGAGCUGACCCCGUGUAGACACUGAGUGAAAUAAAGAAGACUGAUGCAGACAGGAACUGUUUAAAGGAAAGAAAACACACACGAUCUCACAGAGAAGGACUAAGUCACAAGACCCCACAACUCAGUGUUUGAGGAGAACUCAAGAAGCAAAUUCAGUCUGGUUGCAAUAGCAAGAGAAAUGCUCCCUCCCUUGCAAUGCCUUCUGGGAAGCAUAUCAGACUGUACAAUGGCCAAAGCCAAGGAGCCUGAUGUUUCCUUGAAGAGCUCACUUCACCACAAACUGUGCUGAACACUUUCCAGGGUGUCCUGGAGCUGUGAAAGAAAGGCUGCCUACAGAGCGAAGUCUCAACCUGACUUUAAAGUGGGGUUGUACUAGAGACGGGGAUGAUAAUGCAGGAAGGCAGGACGCAGUGAGGCAGGAGGCUGCACCGAGCCUGAGGAUUGAACAGCCUCCUGCUGGUGCACUUAGGGGGACUGGAAGGACUAACAAGUCUGAUGAUUUGUGAGAUUGAAUGAAUUGAGUUGAUGAUUCUUGUUUCAUUGGGUAAAAAGCUAAGGUCUUAUGGAAGCCUGACACCAGUCAUGAGAAGAUGGGACAGUAUCAAAAUGUGUCCUUACUUUUAAAGGCUGGAGAGACGACUCAGUGAUUUAGAAUAGGCGCCUCGUUCUGUUCCCAGAACAUAAAGCAGUUAGCAACACUCAAAUUCUAGUCCCAGGAAAUCUGUAGUGCUCUUCUGACCUGCCCUAAAGCCUGCUGUGGAGGUAAAGGGACAUGGCUUACCUAAGACUGAAGAUAUACCAGAGCACAGAAAAGCCACAAGGCCUGGACCAAGUUCAGCCCUGCCCGAAUGUGGCUCAUGUAGACAGGACUUCAGAAACUUAGGAUGAAUCAAGAAAACUGAGAGAACUAGAACUUUCUCCAGAAGUAUUCUACAAAAGCACAAGAUCAUAGCAUUCUACUGAUAUGUUUAUCAAUAAUAAAAUCCAAUUCCAGACACACAAACCCUCUUGUAAUAAUGCCAUUAGAAAAGAAAAAGCACACUCAUUUACAGAUGCAAAUAUAAUACUCUCUACAUAAAGUCCAGAAUUCAAUUAAGAAUUAUGAGACAACAAUGAACAGAUAAACAAUGCAUGAGGAAUGAAUGAUAGCAAAAAUGGGAAUUUUAAGAAAGAGUCAAGUGGAAUUGAUAGAAAACAAAGCAAUACAUCAUGAUAGAAUAGAUGAAAAAUAGUUCCAGUGACCUCAUAAGCAGAUUUAAUGAACACUGCAUUCUGAAACAGGAAAAAAAAAUGACCACAAUUGAAUAAAACAAAAAGAAAAUAAAGCAAAACAAGUGAGAUGAAGAACAUUAACAAGGAAAUAGGGUGCAGAACACCCAGAAGCUGAGCCCCACCAUCAACGUGUACAGUGCAUUCUGUUUCCAGAGUAGACGUUCUGUCUGUACCCACCUCUUUCCCUCCCUCCCUUGUUUCCUCCUCUCUCCCCACCUCCCUCUCUCCACCUGACCUCCUCAUGUGUGUAUAGUUAUUGUAAA